rnacentral:rRNA from 1 species
UAAUGCCGGAUGCUCCAGUUGACCGCAUGGUCCUCUGGGAAAGCUUUUGCGGUAUGGGAUGGGGUCGCGUCCUAUCAGCUUGAUGGCGGGGUAACGGCCCACCAUGGCUUCGACGGGUAGCCGGCCUGAGAGGGCGACCGGCCACAUUGGGACUGAGAUACGGCCCAGACUCCUACGGGAGGCAGCAGUGGGGAAUAUUGCACAAUGGGCGCAAGCCUGAUGCAGCGACGCCGCGUGCGGGAUGACGGCCUUCGGGUUGUAAACCGCUUUUGACUGGGAGCAAGCCCUUCGGGGUGAGUGUACCUUUCGAAUAAGCACCGGCUAACUACGUGCCAGCAGCCGCGGUAAUACGUAGGGUGCAAGCGUUAUCCGGAAUUAUUGGGCGUAAAGGGCUCGUAGGCGGUUCGUCGCGUCCGGUGUGAAAGUCCAUCGCUUAACGGUGGAUCCGCGCCGGGUACGGGCGGGCUUGAGUGCGGUAGGGGAGACUGGAAUUCCCGGUGUAACGGUGGAAUGUGUAGAUAUCGGGAAAGA